CCUACGUGAGGCAGCAGUGGGGAAUAUUGGGCAAUGGGCGCAAGCCUGACCCAGCAACGCCGCGUGAAGGAAGAAGGCUUUCGGGUUGUAAACUUCUUUUCUCAGGGACGAAGCAAGUGACGGUACCUGAGGAAUAAGCCACGGCUAACUACGUGCCAGCAGCCGCGGUAAUACGUAGGUGGCAAGCGUUAUCCGGAUUUACUGGGUGUAAAGUGCGUGUAGGCGGGACUGCAAGUCAGAUGUGAAAACCACGGGCUCAACCUGUGGCCUGCAUUUGAAACUGUAGUUCUUGAGUACUGGAGAGGCAGACGGAAGUCCUAGUGUAGCGGUGAAAUGCGUAGAUAUUAGGAGGAACACCAGUGGCGAAGGCGGUCUGCUGGACAGCAACUGACGCUGAGGCGCGAAAGCGUGGGGAGCAAACAGGAUUAGAUACCCGGGUAGUC
rnacentral:rRNA from 1 species